UGCGGAAGGAUCAUUACCUAGAGUUUGUAGACUUCGGUCUGCUACCUCUUACCCAUGUCUUUUGAGUACCUUCGUUUCCUCGGCGGGUCCGCCCGCCGAUUGGACAACAUUCAAACCCUUUGCAGUUGCAAUCAGCGUCUGAAAAAACAUAAUAGUUACAACUUUCAACAACGGAUCUCUUGGUUCUGGCAUCGAUGAAGAACGCAGCGAAAUGCGAUAAGUAGUGUGAAUUGCAGAAUUCAGUGAAUCAUCGAAUCUUUGAACGCACAUUGCGCCCCUUGGUAUUCCAUGGGGCAUGCCUGUUCGAGCGUCAUUUGUACCUUCAAGCUCUGCUUGGUGUUGGGUGUUUGUCUCGCCUCUGCGUGUAGACUCGCCUUAAAACAAUUGGCAGCCGGCGUAUUGAUUUCGGAGCGCAGUACAUCUCGCGCUUUGCACUCAUAACGACGACGUCCAAAAGUACAUUUUUACACUCUUGACCUCGGAUCAGGUAGGGAUACCCGCUGAACUUAAGCAUAUCAAUAAGCGGAGGAAAAGAAACCAACAGGGAUUGCCCUAGUAACGGCGAGUGAAGCGGCAACAGCUCAAAUUUGAAAUCUGGCGUCUUUGGCGUCCGAGUUGUAAUUUGCAGAGGGCGCUUUGGCAUUGGCAGCGGUCCAAGUUCCUUGGAACAGGACGUCACAGAGGGUGAGAAUCCCGUACGUGGUCGCUAGCCUUUACCGUGUAAAGCCCCUUCGACGAGUCGAGUUGUUUGGGAAUGCAGCUCUAAAUGGGAGGU
rnacentral:rRNA from 1 species